rnacentral:rRNA from 1 species
UACGUAGGGGGCAAGCGUUGUCCGGAUUUAUUGGGCGUAAAGAGCGUGUAGGCGGCCAUGCAGGUCCGUUGUGAAAACUCGAGGCUCAACCUCGAGACGCCGAUGGAAACCGCAUGGCUAGAGUCCGGAAGAGGAGAGUGGAAUUCCUGGUGUAGCGGUGGAAUGCGCAGAUAUCAGGAGGAACACCAAUAGCGAAGGCAGCUCGCUGGGACGGUACUGACGCUAAGGCGCGAAAGCGUGGGAGCGAACAGG